rnacentral:rRNA from 1 species
CAAGUCGAACGGUAACAGGUCUUCGGACGCUGACGAGUGGCGCACGGGUGAGGAACACGUACACAAUCUACCUUAUACUGGAGAAUAGCCCCGGGAAACUGGGAUUAAUACUCCAUAGUCUUUAAUGAUCACAUGAGAAAUAAAGUAAAGCUUCGGCGGUAUAAGAUGAGUGUGCGUCCCAUUAGAUUGUUGGUGAGGUAACGGCUCACCAAGUCGACGAUGGGUAGCUGGCGUGAGAGCGCGACCAGCCACACUGGCACUGAGACACGGGCCAGACUCCUACGGGAGGCAGCAGUAGGGAAUAUUGGUCAAUGGACGAAAGUCUGAACCAGCCAUGCCGCGUGGAGGAUGACUGCCCUCUGGGUUGUAAACUCCUUUUAUAUGGGAAGAAACCUCUGGAUUCACUCCAGAGCUGACGGUAUCAUAUGAAUAAGCACCGGCUAACUCCGUG